UAUGGGCAUGAUGGGGCAUAAACCUUUUUU
rnacentral:piRNA from 1 species